AACAAAUAAAAUAUACCUAAUCAAGCCAUUUUAACCCACUACACAAUAAGGAAAAAGAAACAAUUUGUUCAGCCAACAGUACGGGUUUCUUUGUUUUUCUCUGUUUAUUUAUUUCCAAAGUUGACUUGUUUCUUCUAAAAGUAAGAUUUCUGUCAGGUCAUUUUAAAUCCUCGGAAAUUGCGAGAAUGCAGGAUUUUGCACCAUUUUCCCCAGAGUUUCUAGGGGCCUUGAGCGGCCCCCAGACCCCCUGUCGUAUGACUUCCUUCUCCGGCAUUGCGUACAUAUCAAAAUUGCCUAGCUACGCCCCUGGUA
rnacentral:lncRNA from 1 species